UUGCAGGAUAAGCUGGCAGGCUAGUCCCCUGUUGUUAUCACAAGUGGACUUAUGGUGAAGCUGAAGCCAUUGGAGAGGCUAAAAGGUUUAUCUUUGGUCCUAAUCAGGACUUUGAUACUCUGUCCUGUUUGAUCGGCUUAUUUGAGAACUUGGUCAGGGCAGGAAUGCAGCAGCCAUAAUCAUUUAUACUGGUGCUUUCAGGGUAGCGGAGUUGAGAAAUGAUUAGGAGUGCUAAAUUUAGGCUGUUUAGUCCAUUCUUUGGCGCUCCUGCUU
rnacentral:SRP_RNA from 1 species